rnacentral:rRNA from 1 species
AAUAUUGCACAAUGGGGGAAACCCUGAUGCAGCGACGCCGCGUGAAGGAAGAAGGCCUUCGGGUUGUAAACUUCGUUGACCAGGGGCGAAAAAAUGACGGUACCUGGAGAACAAGCCACGGCUAACUACGUGCCAGCAGCCGCGGUAAUACGUAGGUGGCGAGCGUUGUCCGGAAUUACUGGGUGUAAAGGGCGUGUAGGCGGGUUCUUAAGUCAGAUGUGAAAUUCCGGGGCUCAACUCCGGAGCUGCAUCUGAAACUGGGGAUCUUGAGUGCUGGAGGGGAAAGUGGAAUUCCUAGUGUAGCGGUGAAAUGCGUAGAGAUUAGGAGGAACACCAGUGGCGAAGGCGGCUUUCUGGACAGUAACUGACGCUGAGGCGCGAAAGCGUGGGGAGCAAACAGG